rnacentral:rRNA from 1 species
AUUGAACGCUGGCGGAAUGCUUUACACAUGCAAGUCGAGCGGCAGCACGGGGGCAGCCCUGGUGGCGAGCGGCGAACGGGUGAGUAAUACAUCGGAACAUACCCAGUCGUGGGGGAUAACACUUCGAAAGAAGUGCUAAUACCGCAUACGUCCUGAGGGGGAAAGCGGGGGAUCGCAAGACCUCGCGCGAUUGGAGUGGCCGAUGUCAGAUUAGCUAGUUGGUGGGGUAAAGGCCUACCAAGGCAACGAUCUGUAGCUGGUCUGAGAGGAUGAUCAGCCACACUGGGACUGAGACACGGCCCAGACUCCUACGGGAGGCAGCAGUGGGGAAUUUUGGACAAUGGGGGCAACCCUGAUCCAGCCAUGCCGCGUGAGUGAAGAAGGCCUUCGGGUUGUAAAGCUCUUUCGGCAGGAACGAAACGGUGAGCUCUAACAUAGCUUGCUAAUGACGGUACCUGAAGAAGAAGCACCGGCUAACUACGUG